rnacentral:rRNA from 1 species
AUUGAACGCUAGCGGGAGGCUUAACACAUGCAAGUCGAACGAGUGGCGGACGGGUGAGUAAUAUCUCGGAACGUGCCCAGUAGCGGGGGAUAACUAAUCGAAAGAGUAGCUAAUACCGCCUAAUAUUUGAUCGGCCGAUAGCUGAUUAGCUAGUUGGUGGGGUAAAGGCUCACCAAGGACACGAUCCCUAGCUGGUUUGAGAGGACGACCAGCCACACUGGUACUGAGACACGGCCCAGACUCCGACGGGAGGCAGCAGUGGGGAAUUUUGGACAAGGGGGGAAACCCUGAUGCAGCCAUCCCGCGUGUAUGAGAAGGCCUUCGGGUUGUAAAGUACUUUUGGCAGAGAAGCGGUAUCUGCAGAAGAAGCACCGGCUAACUCCGUGCCAGCAGCCGCGGUAAUAC